rnacentral:rRNA from 1 species
GACGAACGCUGGCGGCGUGCUUAACACAUGCAAGUCGAACGGAAAGGCCCUGCUUUUGUGGGGUGCUCGAGUGGCGAACGGGUGAGUAACACGUGAGUAACCUGCCCUUGACUUUGGGAUAACUUCAGGAAACUGGGGCUAAUACCGGAUAGGAGCUCCUGCUGCAUGGUGGGGGUUGGAAAGUUUCGGCGGUUGGGGAUGGACUCGCGGCUUAUCAGCCUGUUGGUGGGGUAGUGGCUUACCAAGGCUUUGACGGGUAGCCGGCCUGAGAGGGUGACCGGCCACAUUGGGACUGAGAGACGGCCCAGACUCCUACGGGAGGCAGCAGUGGGGAAUAUUGCACAAUGGGCGGAAGCCUGAUGCAGCAACGCCGCGUGCGGGAUGACGGCCUUCGGGUUGUAAACCGCUUUCGCCUGUGACGAAGCGUGAGUGACGGUAAUGGGUAAAGAAGCACCGGCUAACUACGUG